rnacentral:misc_RNA from 1 species
AACGCACAUUGCGCCCCUUGGCAUUCCGAGGGGCACACCUGUCCGAGCGCCAUGUCAACCCUCAAGCCUGGCUUGGUGUUGGGGCGCGUCCGCCGGGAUGUCUCCGAAACCCGUAGGCGUCCUUGCUCGGCCUCCGGCGUAGCAGGCUAACGCACAUGCGCGAGGGGUGCGAGCGAGAGGCUGCCCAUAUUUCUUCAAGGUUGGCCUCGGAUCAGGUGGGGAUACCCGCUGAACUUAA